AAUACGUAGGUGGCAAGCGUUGUCCGGAUUUACUGGGCGUAAAGCGCGCGCAGGUGGUUCCUUAAGUCUGAUGUGAAAGCCCACGGCUCAACCGUGGAGGGUCAUUGGAAACUGGGGAACUUGAGUGCAGAAGAGGAAAGUGGAAUUCCAAGUGUAGCGGUGAAAUGCGUAGAGAUUUGGAGGAACACCAGUGGCGAAGGCGACUUUCUGGUCUGUAACUGACACUGAGGCGUGAAAGCGUGGGUAGCAAACAGGA
rnacentral:rRNA from 1 species